GCCAGGUGUGAUGGCACAUGCCUGUAGUCCCAACUACUUGGGAAGCUGAGGCAGGAGGAUCCCUUGAGCCCAGGAGUUUGAGGCUGCAGUGAGCUAUGAUUAUGCCACUGCACUUCAACCUGGGUGACAGAGUGAGACCCUGUCUCUU
rnacentral:SRP_RNA from 1 species